GCCAUUGAUUUUUUGCCUUAAGUCAUGUUGAAUGUAAUAAGCACAUCUAUAUAAUAAGGGAAGAUGGUUUUUGAAAAUCUAUACAAAUGUCUGAGAGAUACAUUUAAUUUGGACGGCUGAGAUGUCUAAAAUGUUUAGAUCAAUGGUUUAGAUCAAUGGGUGGUUCCCGCCCAACACAUUUCAUUUGAUUUGCCUAUAUCUAUCCUCUGUCUCCUUCAUACCCUCUGUCUACCAUCUGUCUUCCCAUACCCUCUACCUUCCCUCUCUAUCUCCCUCUCUGUCUCCCUCUCUGUCUACCGUCUGUCUCCCUAUUCCUACUCUGCACUGACUCUCCCCUCAGUAUCUACCUUCCCUCUCUAUCUCCCUUUCUUGCUCUGUUUUUGGGUUUAUCUUAUUGUAUUGGGUUUGGAUUUUGAGUUAUACGGGUGAUAUUGAGCCAACUGGUAUAUACGGGUGAGUUAUAGAUAUAUGGAAAAGAAAUUCUGCUCAGACUUUAACCAAUUCUACAGGUCAGCAUUGGUGAUUUGUCUGCUCUGCCCAUUUUGAGUUUAAAUUCAUUGAAGUUGAUGUUGAUUACCUUCUGGGAAAACACUUAUUCCCUUUUUGUAUUUAAUGUAUUUCCUUUGUUUAAACCUGAUGAUACUUCUUCUCUUUGCUGGACUUCUGCAUUUGUAAACCAUUAUAGCCCUUAUUGACCUGGUAGUAAUUGAUUUACAGGUUUGCCACUCUCAAGGAGCCAAUCAGAUUCAGCAAGGACGAGUCCUAUUGGUGAUCCAAUAGAGGACAAAGUGAUAGUGUCUGAGCUGAGAAAUGCUUCAAAUAGAAGAUCAAAUGGAACACCCAUAGACCAUGAAAUGUCGAAAGAAGUUGAGUCCAAGCAUAAUCCUCCCAGUGUGGUCGCCAAGUUGAUGGGGCUUGAUACCCUUCCAUGGCAACAGUCUGAUUCUGCUGCGCAAAGAAGUCAUUCAAGAGACUAUGCACGAAGUCAUUCAGCAAUCACAGAAAGGAAGUUAUGUAAGAGAUAAAUCACCACAGAAAAGAAGGUAUAAUGAGAAUACAAAUGAGAAAAAGAUGGCCUUAGUUCGUCAGAAGUUCAUCGAAGAAAAACGCCUAGCCACAGAUGAAAAACUUCGCCAAU